UCAUAUGCUUGUCUCAAAGCUUAAGCCAUGCAAGUGUAAGUUCACGCCACGACUUAGAACGGGCGAAACCGCGAAUGGCUCAGGAACCGGACCUAAUCCUCGGGACCGUAAUCCUCCUCGUGGAGGCGAUGGAUAACUGUGGCAAUUCUAGAGCUAAUACAUGUGACACAAGCCGCGAUCGGUCGGCGCGUCGUCGUCGCCGUUGCCUUUGCGCUUCGGCACCCGCGUCGAUCGUUCCGGGUCGCGGCGCUACAUAUUAGACUGAGACCGAUGCGCGUUCUUCCGUCCUCCCGUUGGCGUUUUUCUCUUGCCCGUUUCGGCGGGUUUGCGUGCGCUGCGGGGCUACAAUGGGCGGCGCGCUCCGCUUUGGUGACUCUGGAUAACUCACUGGUCGAUCGCACCGGCUUUCAUGCCUGGCGACGGGUCUCUCGAGGGUCCGCCCUAUCAACUGUCGACGGUCGGUUAAGUGCCUACCGUGGUUACUACGGGUAACGGGGAAUCGGGGUUCGAUUCCGGAGAGGGAGCAUGCGAAACGGCUACCACAUCCAAGGAAGGCAGCAGGCGCGCAAAUUACCCACUCCCGGCACGGGGAGGUAGUGACGAAAAAUAACGACGCGGGACUCUGUCGAGGCCCCGCGAUCGGAAUGAGUACACUUCAAAUCCGUUAACGAGGACCAACCGGAGGGCAAGUCUGGUGCCAGCAGCCGCGGUAAUUCMAGCUCCGGUAGCGUAUAUUAAAGUUGUUGCGGUUAAAAAGCUCGUAGUCCGAACUCGGGUUCGUGGUCGCUCGCGCGGCCCCGGGGCGGCGGCGCCAUCGUCCGUCGUUGACUUUGGUCGUCCGUGCGCAUUCCCGGCCCUUUCCGCCGGUGUCGACUGCCAUGUACAUCCGCCUCGUGGUCAUGCCGGCGAAUAUCUAUUGCGAGGAGGAUGACGGUUUGGGGGGGGUUGCGUUCGGCCGGGUCGGGGGUUGGCGAUUCCGAGUCGAUGUCGGGGGAUCAAGGGAGGGGAAAAAAUUAGUUUUCGGACUUUUUUUUUUCYCUCCUCCUCCGUCCUCUCUUCUCGGCUCUCUCGCCUUCUUUUUCCCGUCUCCGGUUCGYUUCGUUUUCUCUCUUCCUCCGUUUACCACUCCGAGCAAUGUUUCGUCGUGCGCGCGAGUUUGCGGUCGGGCGGUUUCUCCUCCAAGGGUGCUCUUGACCGAGUGUCCGCGGCGGCCGGUACGUUCACUUUGAAAAAAUUAGAGUGCUCAGAGCGGGCUGUUCAAGCUUGCAUACGAUAAGCAUGGAAUGAUGGAAGAGGGCCUCGUCUACGUCUGUCGGUCUCCGUCUACGGCGAGGCAAUGAUCGAAGGGAGCGGUCGGGGCCACUCGUAUUGCGACGUUAGAGGUGAAAUUCUUGGAUCGUCGCAAGACGAACUGCAGCGAUGGCGUGUGGCAAGCACGUUUUCCUCGAUCAAGAGCGAAAGUCGGAGGUUCGAAGACGAUCAGAUACCGUCGUAGUUCCGACCGUAAACGAUGCCGACCGGCGAUCCGCCGGCGUUCGCUUCCAUGACCCGGCGGGUAGCCUGCGGGAAACCAGAGUUCGGUUCCGGGGGGAGUAUGGUUGCAAAGCUGAAACUUAAAGGAAUUGACGGAAGGGCACCACCAGGAGUGGAGCCUGCGGCUUAAUUUGACUCAACACGGGAAAACUCACCCGGUCCGGACACCGGUAGGAUUGACAGAUCGAUAGCUCUUUCUCGAUUCGGUGGGUGGUGGUGCAUGGCCGUUCUUAGUUGGUGGAGCGAUCCGUCUGGUUGAUUCCGAUAACGAACGAGACUCWGGCCUGCUAACUAGUGCGCCGAUGUGUAUGCGUUUUUUGCUACGGCGGGCUCGGGCCGUACGUGUUCGUCGCCGUUGUUUCGGUCGUGCGUUUGCGUUCGUCUUUUUUUGCUCGUGGCGGUCGGAGGGGUUGUGGGUGUGCGGGAGGUGGGGGGGGAGAGCGGGUCUUUUCUCGUCUUUCUUUUCCCCCCUUCUCUUCGUUGCAUUCGCGCUCUGUUCGGCGUCGGGCAGGGGCGGGCGUGGCGUCGUCGACAGCGUGCGGUCGUGCGUGCGGUUUCCGCCGGGUCCGGGUCGGUUUUCUCACGCACUUCUUAGAGGGACGGGUGGCAGAAAGCCACACGAGGCGGAGCGAUAACAGGUCUGUGAUGCCCUUAGAUGUCCGGGGCCGCACGCGCGCUACACUGGAGGUAUCAGCGGGGACUUCGCCCCGGCCCGAGAGGGCCGGGAAACCUCUCAACCACCUCCCGUGAUAGGGAUCGGGGCCUGUAACCAACCCCGUGAACGAGGAAUUCCCGGUAGGCGCGGGUCAACAGCCCGCGUCGAUCACGUCCCUGCCCUUUGUACACACCGCCCGUCGCUACUACCGAUCGAACGGUCCGGUGAGGUCCUCGGAUCUGGCCGACGACGCCGCCGGGCUGCCUGGCGGGUCUGGGGAGGGGGUUUUCCUCCUUCGUCCGCCGCUUGUGUCGCCUCGGCGUUCGACGCCUGGAGAAGACGACCGAACCCGAUCGUUUAGAGGAAGUAAAAGUCGUAACAAGGUUUCC
rnacentral:rRNA from 1 species